UGGCUGAAACCGAGAAAAAAAAAAUCAUUUCCUUCUCGAUUCUUCUCCUCUCUUCUCUGUCUGCGAUUCGCGAAAACCUCUUCAUCGCGAAAAUCCGCCAUGGCUUCUGAGAAUCAUGAUGAAGUAAUGCUUCAUCCAGUCCAUAACCCAGCGAAAGGUGCAUAAUGACGAGAAUUUCUUUGUGGAAAUUCAGGGACGAAAUCAUCAAUCUUGAUGAAGCGGUAAUGAUGGGGAACACAUCAAACGAAAUCCCAACACUAGAAUCAGCAUCAAUGGAGAUAAGGGUACUUCCCUUACCAAACAUGAUAGACAAACAAAUGUCAUCACUGUUAGAGGAAUGACCAUCACAAAAGAAGAAAAGAAGAGAUACCAUGGAAUCAUUGUCAAGCUGCUUCGUGGGUAUAUACUCGAUCAAGUCAGUGAACCGACGAUGGGAUGUUAUUAUAUGUGUAGUGGCUCUGAUAGCAAUAUUGUAAGAGUUUUAUAAAUCAUAGAUUGCAAGUGAUUUUAGAUGACUUUGAAUCUUUUUAACUUUUAAGUAAAUUCCAUGUUCAAUAACAUGAGAUUUGUGAAUGUUU